rnacentral:rRNA from 1 species
UACGCAGGGAGCUAGCGUUGUUCGGAAUCACUGGGCGUAAAGCGCACGUAGGCGGAUUUGCCAGUCAGGGGUGAAAUCCCGGGGCUCAACCUCGGAACUGCCUUUGAUACAGCAAGUCUUGAGUUCGAGAGAGGUGGGUGGAAUUCCUAGUGUAGAGGUGAAAUUCGUAGAUAUUAGGAAGAACACCGGUGGCGAAGGCGGCCCACUGGCUCGACACUGACGCUGAGGUGCGAAAGCGUGGGGAGCAAACAGG